ensembl:lncRNA
CGUAGAUACAGCUGUCAGUCAUAUAUGUACAAUACAUCGUCUAUAAUCCCAAGGAGUUACGCAUAAACAAUAAACAGUAGCUACUGCCAAGAACAAGAAGGGGGAAAAGGAAACAUUAUAUAUAUAUAUAUAUAUAUAUGAGAGAGAGAGAGAGAGAAAAAUAAAGAUGAUGGAGCGAUGAUGAUGGCGCGAUGAUGGAGCGUUGAUGAUGAUGGAGCGUUGAUGAUGAUGGAGCGUUGAUGAUGAUUGGACGUUGAUGAUGAUGAUGGAGCUUUGAUGAUGAUGGAGCGUUGAUGAUGAUGAUGGAGCGUUGAUGAUGGAGCGUUGAUGAUGAUGGAGCUGUGAUGAUGAUGGAGCGUUGAUGAUGAUGAUGAUGAUGAUGAUGGAGCGUUGAUGAUGAUGAUGGAGCGUUGUUUAUGAUGAUGAUGAUGGAGCGUUGAUGAUGAUGAUGGAGCGUUGUUUAUGAUGAUGAUGAUGGAGCGUUGAUGAUGAUGAUGAUGAUGAUGAUGAUGGAGUGUUGAUGAUGAUUGAGCGUUUGAUGAUGAUGAUGAUGAUGAGCGUUGAUUGAUGAUGAUGGAGUGUUGAUGAUGAUUGAGCGUUGAUGAUGAUGAUGGAGCGUUGAUGAUGUUGAUGAUGGAGCGAUGAUGAUGGAGAGUUGAUGAAGAUGGAGCUUUGAUGAUGAUGAUGGAGCGUUGAUGAUGAUGGAGUGUUGAUGAUAAUGGAGCGUUGAUGAUGGAGCGUUGUUUAUGAUGAUGAUGAUGGAGUGUUGAUGAUGAUGGAGCGUUGAUGAUGAUAUUUAGCGUUGAUGACGAUAAUGGAGCGUUAUGAUGUUGGAGCAUUGUUCAUGAUGUUGGAGCAUUGUUCAUGAUGUUGGAGCAUUGCUGAUGGAGCAUUGCAUGGCUAGAUCUUGUGCAGGAAUCUAAAAUGAACUUCAUUUUAUUUGGUUCUAUAUGCAGUAUUUGUAAUAAUCACAGACCUUAUUUCAGGAUGAAUUUUUUUUUAUUUAUUUUUUUAACACUAUUUACUGCACUCUACUUAAUCUGUUGGUUUGGAAGAGGAAGUUGCUUAGCUGCAUUUGUGAGAAAAUCGUUUUGUUUAUUUGAGAGGCGAGAUUUCCUUUUGCAAAGCAGAUUGUGUUUGUUUGCGAGAUGGUAUAUUUAUAUUUGUUUAGCUUUGGCACAGAUCCACGGUCGUUGCCCACAGGAUAUGAUGGUCACAAGAACGUUCUGCAUUUUGGCUUUUACUGAUUAUGUAUACGUUUUCCUCUUGGUGGAAUAUGAUACGAUAUACGCCUUGUUGAUGUAACUGUAUCUCGCUGUUCUCCUUCCUGAACAAUCCCCUGCGUAAACCAGAGACUGUUUUUUUUAUUACUCGGACAAAUGUUUCGGAUACAUCACGGCGCUGUCUCAUUCUCGGUUCCGAUUGGUUGGGAGGUGUCGAUUAACAACAGUCGUUCCAGCUGCAAAUCACAGUUUGAUUUUAGCAUCCUGGUUAUCGUUUCUGUAGUCCGUUCACAGGGAUGUUUACGGAAGGAGUCUCCAGUGUCAGCACUUUGGGGCAGUCCUGGGAAAGAAGCGAGCAUAGUUCACAGGAACCAGUUUCGCAGUUAAAUAUGGCUAAAAAUUGCUGUCGUAUCCAAGACGAAUAAAAAAAUAAAAAAAACUAAGAUUUUAUUCCUUAUUUAACCCCCGUUAAA